rnacentral:lncRNA from 1 species
UUUGAGCUAGUUUUUCAGUAAAAAGUAAAUGCUUUUACAAUUAAGCAAGAGAGGAAACUUUGAUUUCCAAGAUAGCCUUUGAGCUAAGUUUUGAGAAAUUAUCUCAAACCACAGAAAAAAGAGCUAGUAUGAUAUUUUGGGAGUAGUAUUGAGCACCGAUAUUGGGGAGAGUUUAGACAACUCGCAGCCCCCAUAAAUCAUGUAGCCAUCAUGGGUAGAAAAGAGUCAUACUUUUUAGAUGAUUCCUUAGUGAUUUUUAGCAUAGACUAGUAGAUCCACUUAGUAGUCAGGUUGUAUACCCUCGGCAAGGUAUAUGAUGGCCUCGGCAGCGGGA